GUCUUCGUGGUGUAAUGGUUAGCACACUCGAUGCAUAUUCGAGAGGUCCGAGGUUCGAGUCCCGACAAAGACU
rnacentral:tRNA from 1 species